rnacentral:lncRNA from 1 species
UCUCACCAAACCCUUAGCAUCCCAAAAUAACCCUAGUCUUCCGUUCUUUCAUCUUAGUGACUAGGUUACCGUCGACAUUACCUCAAGUGUUUUCAAUUGUUGAGUUCGGCUGCCACAAAUACGCUCUGUGUUUUCUCUUUGCUCCUACUAAUGGUUUGAACUAAGGUAUUGUUACAAUUUUAUUUUCUCCUCUGCCCAUAGGAGAAAAGGAAGGCACAAUUCGAUUUGGGUAUUAUCUCUUUGCUCCUACUAACGAUCGUAUUCUCCAAUUUGCAAUGAAAACGAAGGCACAAUUCGAUUUGGGUAUAAUCACCGCCUACUUGAGCCCUAAUUUUCGAUUUUCGUUAUCGUACCUCUACUUUCUUCUAUGUUUUUUAUUUUGGAGUCGUGAAGGACCAACCCUACCAGAAGAGUCUGUAUUGGAUUCGAUUUUUGGUGUUGAAGGCUUAAUUUGGGGUUUUUCAACACAUGUCUAAAACAUUAGCAGAUGGAAAUCUGUCUUUGGACAAAAGAGGUAAACUUUGAACAUUUGUUUCAUUAAUCUUAUAGUUUUGAUGAUUUAUACAAUUUCAUUUUGUUCUAUGUGACUUUCUAUGUAUGAUGGUUGUCUUGUAUAAUCCUCAGGGGAAUAUUGAAGAACAUUCUCAGCUCCUUUGUGAAAUCACCCCGGUUAGUUCAUUUGAAUGAUAAUUAAAAAAAUAUAUGUUUUCAUAUGUUUUUUUUUCAUAGCUAAUAACGUAGUUCAAGUAAAUAUAUGAUAAUUAUGAUUGUUAACUCCAACAUGCAUAAAAACAAUUGCAAUUGAAAAAGUUAUUGAAUUGGUGCAUGAUGAACUUUAUGAGAAAUGAAGCAAACUUCUAUAAUAUAUCAACUGACACAUUAAGGAUCAGAGGAUGAAAUAUAUUUUGUAUUGAUUUUGAUUUCUUAAUUUUGGUUGCAGUAGCUCAAAAUGGUAAGGGUACUCCUAUCUUGAAUAUUUCUAUAACUGAUUAGUAUUAAUAUUCAAUAUUUAGUAUGAGAGGAUAUUUCAAUAACUGAUUACUAUCAAAAUGGUAUUUUAUUAAUAUUUAGUACAAAAAAAUGAUUAGUAUGUAAAUUAUUCAAUAUUUCAGUAUGAGAGGAUAUUAAGUUUUGUUCAAACAAUCGAUUUUGGUCCUUAUUUCACGCUACUAGGGACCAAAACUGAAAAAUAUUUCAAUUAUUGGCUGAUGAUUAAUCCAUUGUAGCAAUAUCUCACUUUGAUCAAAUGGUUGUAAUGGUAUACAGGCCAGCCCCCAUGCUUGGAUGGCAUUCAUCUUUUAUUUCUUUUUAUUAUUAUUAUCCAUUUAUAACAUUGUACUUACAUUAUGAAUAAAAGUACAAUGCUAUAAAUGGAUAUAUUUUUGAAAGCCCAAUAUUGUAAUACAAAAAAAAGGAAUCGAUAUAACCUCGCAGCAUAUAGCUGAAUCCUUCCAAAAAGAACAUAAAAGAAUAAUAAUAACUAUAGUUAUUUAUGUGUAUGUUCAUUUUUAUUUCUCUUUUGCUUCAGGAACAACACUUAUGGAGCCCAAGUAUCAAGAACCCACAAAGCAC